rnacentral:rRNA from 1 species
AACGAACGCUGGCGGCGUGCCUAACACAUGCAAGUCGAGCGGGAAAGUUCCCUUCGGGGGAGCGAGUACAGCGGCGAACGGGUGAGUAACACGUAGGCAACCUACCCCGGAGACCGGGAUAACCUGUCGAAAGGCGGGCUAAUACCGGAUAAGACCACGAGGGCCUCGGCCCUUGAGGUAAAAGGUGGCCUCUGCUUGCAAGCUAUCACUCCAGGAUGGGCCUGCGCGCCAUUAGCUAGUUGGGAGGUAACGGCUCACCAAGGCGAAGAUGGCUAGCUGGUCUGAGAGGAUGGCCAGCCACACUGGGACUGAGAUACGGCCCAGACUCCUACGGGAGGCAGCAGUGGGGAAUCUUGCGCAAUGGGCAAAGCCUGACGCAGCGACGCCGCGUGGGUGAUGAAGG